rnacentral:rRNA from 1 species
UUCUCCCUGACCCUUUAAGGGUCCUGAAGGAACGUUGAAGACGACGACGUUGAUAGGCCGGGUGUGUAAGCGCAGCGAUGCGUUGAGCUAACCGGUACUAAUGAACCGUGAGGCUUAACCUUACAACGCCGAAGCUGUU